rnacentral:rRNA from 1 species
GAUGAACGCUGGCGGCGUGCUUAACACAUGCAAGUCGAACGGGAAACCUUUUAUUGAAGCUUCGGCAGAUUUAGAUUGUUUCUAGUGGCGGAAGGGUGAGUAACGCGUGGGUAACCUGCCUUAUACAGGGGGAUAACAGUCAGAAAUGACUGCUAAUACCGCAUAAGCGCACAGAGCUGCAUGGCUCGGUGUGAAAAAGUCCGGUGGUAUAAGAUGGACCCGCGUUGGAUUAGCUAGUUGGUGAGGUAACGGCCCACCAAGGCGACGAUCCAGAGCCGGCCGGAGGGGGUGAACGGCCACAUUGGGACUGAGACACGGCCCAGACUCCUACGGGGGGGAGAAGUGGGGAGUAUGCACAAUGGGGGAAACCUUGAUGCAGCGACGCCGCGUGAAGGAAGAAGUAUCUCGGUAUGUAAACUUCUAUCAGCAGGGAAGAAAAUGACGGUACCUGACUAAGAAGCCCCGGCUAACUACGUGCCAGCCGCCGCGGUAAUAC